GUAUGAAGCGUACUUACAUUGUCACGACCUGGCUCGCAGCCAUGACAGAAACAAGGAGUGGGACGCCAUGACUGAAAGCGGUUAAAUUAAUUUAUUAAAUGAUAUGAAACAAAAGCUCUUGCACCAAACAAAUAACAACACCAAUGCACACGUGGGGAAAAGAAGCGCUGUCCCUCAGAACUGCAGGUGAAGCGGAGUUCCUAAAGACCAAGUACACUGAGAAACUAUGACCUCACUCUGAGUGUGACAUGCAGGAUGAAAUUGGAAAUGAUCACCUGCAUUAGCCACUGAUAGAAAAUGGACGCUCGGGUCAGAACAAGAGUUCUGUUUGAGAAUGCGUCUUACUUGAGUUUGGGCAUGGCCUGAAAAAGGCAUCAAGAGUCACGGUGAAGCAAAGAGACAACAGGGUGACGCUCGCUCAUCACUUGCAGGUUAGACAAUGCUUUAAAGGUAUUGGCCAGACUCAGCAUUAAAAUUGUAGAAAUUCAGUAUAACUACACUUUAACAUCUAUAUAAACAUGUGCUGGGUUCAGUUUUUUUAUUUUGUUAAGGACUUUUGUCAUAAAUCAUUACAGAAAAUCCAAAUCCUCUCCUCCAGACAGUGAAGAACUGUGUUCUGCCUACGUCGCUCCAGCACGUAAAACAAGGCCGCUGCUGAUGCUAGUAUUGUGAAUAACUGUAUUUUGUUUACUUUCGUACUCUUAUUACGUAAAAUUGUGUUUACAGCUGCAGCAAAAGGUCUGAGCCAUGUGUCCGUGUCCUACACGCAUUUUUAAAUAACAGGUCUGAUCUAAAAUAAUAACCUACAUCUAUAAAUCCAUCUAGAACCGCACCGGUACUAGGGAUGAGCCGGAUACUCGUUUCAGACGAGUAUCCGGUACGGAUAAAGCAUUUUUGACGAGUACGAGCAUGAAACGAGUAAAACUGGUAAAUAUCUGUAAUCGUGCUGAAGGAAAAUCCUCAUUGGGUAACUGACUGUCUUCACGCUCUGUGAUUGGCCAGUCAGAUAGAGCGCCCGCCCCUCCCUACACUCAAAACUGCAGCGGGAGCUCUGCUCAGUCCGCGUCCGGUCCAUCCACGCACACACACAGACAGUAACGGAUCUCUCUGUGCUUGCUUCACUGUUCACGUUUCUUCAGUACUCCCUAUGUUUUCUUCAGUUUGCUUCUUUUGAAAGUUAUUUAAAGUUACUUUUUCCGUAACGUACAGUAUGUGGUGCAUUUGACAAGACAGAGCUGAAAAUGGCUCGUGCUGCGUCAGUCACUGCCUCCGCUCCGGUCGGGUUUUUUUUUCUCUCUCUCCUCUUCCUCAGGAUCCACUCCCUCUUUCCUAUUCACUCUCUCUCUCUCUUUACAUUUUUUAAUCACAAUUGUCUAUUUUUUGCUCAUUUUAAAUAUAUUUUAAUCAUUUUCCAAAUUCUUUUUUCUAUUAUGCAUGAUUUGUUUUUGUGAAGCGCCCCGUGAUUUUUAUCUUGAGAGGCGCCACAGAAAAGAUAUUUUCUUCUCUCUCUCUCUUAAUUCAUGCAGUUAAAUAUUAAUGUUCUGAUUUUAUUGAAAAACUUGUUCUGUAAUAGUUCCCUUACUAUUGUGAUCAAAAACAUUUAAUCUCAACUCUGAGGCUGCUCUGUAAAUAGUUUUCAAAUAAACAAUACACAUAGCAACUUCUGAUCAGACAUACCGCAAAUCCUCUAAUAUUAGCCUGUAUUUAAUUAACUGCCGGGAAUCAUAUUUUGGCCAGUGUCAGAGUCGGCGGAGGUGAAUAAUGGCCGUUUUUUUAUUGUGGCCGGGUGGAAUGUGUUAACAAGCAAGUACGGGGGGCGGUUGUGUCAUCCUUCUCACUUUUGAUUUGCCAGUGAUAGACAGCGAGGGUAACUUUAACCGUGUGGAGACGAAGAGGAGGCGAAAAUUUGAUAUCAAGUUCAAAGAGAACUUGCUGAUUAUGCUGCAGAACACUCUGGGGAGUAGCAGGGGUUGUAUGAACUAGUCACUAGUCGACUUCACUGCUCUAUAGUGACUUUUUUUGCCUGUCAUCGACUAGUCGCUGUCACAUGAUAAUGACCGGCAAGAUGCAGUCCACGGAAAAGACAGCAGCCUGCUGUCAGCAGGUGACAAGCUCCUGCGCGUCGGGAGGCAACUCGCUGUGCCAGAGCGUCUGUACCGACACCCGCCGUAAAAUGGACAUUUAACCAAAUUGUGACGUUUGCCCUCUUGCAAUUUAACCUUCCCCUCACCGCCAUCCUAACCUUAACCAGCUUGUGCAUGCAAAGCUCUGAUUGUUGACGCGCUCCAGACAUCUGCGUCCUGAGCACGGCCACAGUAACAUUAUCAAAUCAGGUGUCGCCACCUCAAAAACUAAUUUAACACGCGAUUGUUCAUGUUGGCUCAUUUCCUUUUAUGUUAUCUGUCUUUUAUUCUUUUAUUUGUGCCUGAUGCCUUUCGCUGCUGCGGAUCGGGGGCAUCACCUGUUUUGUCCUCGGUGACGCACCUAACUUAUGAGGCCGGCGAGCACUCCGCUGUUUUUGCGGUCGGUAGAUCUUUUAGAACUGCAGUUCAAAGGUAACUCAUAAGGUGAAUAUAUAUGAACCCAGGUAGCAGUUUCUCUUUAGGAUUGAGAGGAGAUGCAGGAAGAUAAUAAACAGGCAGGACAGAAAAAUAGUCAAAUAAAAACAAGUUAGUUUUUGUACCUGGUGGUUGCAACAAACAGACACCAUUGAAGGUAAUCAGAAGUGAGGAACAGAAAAUGAAAUAAUUAUUUUAAUGUUUAGAGCAGCAGGAACUCCGAGAGGCUGCAGGCGCAUCAGUGAGUUUGCGGCCGCUGCGCAGGGGGAGGGGGGAGAGGGCUGAAGCAGAAACUACCGUUGUUAAAAGAAAUGUGUUUAACUUAGAAAAUGUGGGCGCAAUUGUAAUUGUCAAAAACUCCAGCGAACCAUUAGUUCAUUUUGCUCAAAUAGAAAUAGAGGCCUGCCUCUAAUUCUGGCCCUCCUUCCAAUAAAGGCCUGGAGCUUGAUGAGCUUGAGUCAAAUACAGGCCCGGGCCUGUAUUAGAGGAUUUACGGUAGUAUAACGUAUUGGUGUAAACCACACCCACUUCCGGUUAAGCUACACCCACUUCCGGAUUAGGCCAGGCCCACUCCGAGUACAGAUACAGAUAGUGGUGUACUCGCUCAUCCCUAACGGUACUUCUGGACUCCCGAGUCCUGUUAGCAUGACUGCAGGAAUACUGUCUUAGCUCCGAUAAGGAAUAAAACAAGUCAUUUGGGAAAGCUACGACACACACAGAUAUAAUCUAAAAGAUGAUCCCUAUAUCAACAAUAGAUCCUCCAUGGACCAGUAGAACUUCCGUGACAUCCUGGAUUAGUGCAAACAAGUCAAACUAAGGAGUUACUCCAGCAUCAGGAAGAUUUACUCUUGUGAGCUAUUAGUUAAAUAUGUUCCAGAGUUAUAUCAACAUAUACACGGAGCUGUAAAACUGUAGAUUAAUGAACUAUAUUGGGACACAUGACGGAGCUAAGACCAGCUGAGAACUCGUCAGCUUAGAGCUCCCAGUGGAGCACAGAAAUUAAAUAUUUAACAAAAGUAAACAAACUGUACCGACUUUGGUUCUGAAGAUGAACAGAAUCCUCCUCUAUAUCCAAAUCGGGUCGCAGGUCUUCUGAGUCAAACGGUCUAAAACAUGUCUGCACCUCCGGUAGUGAUAUCCAGCUGGCGGGGUCGGAGUUCGGUUGAACUUCUCCGGUAAUCCAGUAUCUGUUCUCGUCACCGUAUCCCAGAGAAAAACCUAAUCUGACCGACUAGCAGAGGCUUCAGAAGCUACAUCUGACUGAUGACACAUUGUUCUCUGCUAUAACGCUAACGCAGAAACACUGGAGUCAGGCGUUGUUUACCAUCGCUGUUUCAGCAGAGCUCCUUGUGAAACGUCACCAGCUGCCCAGGGCUUAGACCCGAAGUUAGUUUCUGUUUUUCCUGCGCCGGUCACAAACAUCAGAUUUUCUUAAAAUUCCAGCCGUGAAAAUCCAAAAACCUUUUUCAUCCGAGGUUUUAAUACUUCAUUACACAUGCCGUUCAAAGGAAAUUUGCCUCUGGCCGAUAUCUUUAAAUAAUAAAACCUGUACUGGAAAAGGGUCUGCUACAGGUGCAGGUGAGCCUUUUACAAAUUAACGAGUUGAUGAAUAGAACGUUUAUUGCUCGUUACCAAUUGUUGCUCAAUAACACCACAAAGCACUUGUGCUCAGGGCUCAGAUGGAAACACCCUGAACCUGGGCUUUAUAUCAGGUGUGCAACAUAAUAGAUACAUUUUCUCUGUAACUUAUGGCAUUCAACGCAGCUGGUCUCAGGAGGUCACAAAAUCACAGGAAAAUUGCAAGAUCACGUGUGGUUUCUUCAGCUCAGGUCAUAUCAAGCAAAGAGAAAGACCGCAACAUGUAUACAAAAGAUGUUUUUUAUUGGUAUGUUUACCUCUGCACAGAGAUACAACAGGUAAUGACAAAUUUUAUAUAGUGAGGGUUUGUUUUGUAGGCGAGUAAUUGUGAGCUGUAUCGUACCUGACCUCACAGCGGCAGGAUAGCUGACGUAGUGGUGUACCGUUUUAGCUGAUUAGUUUUAACCUGAAGGGGCCGCUUCACUGACAGUUUUAGGCUGAAUUAUUAAACUUUAAAUAAGUUGCACUAAGAUACCAAAACAGUGACCACACAUGUGUGCAGCAGACACUCAUUUAUAAAGUUGUUUGAGCUGACUUGCUCUUUAAGCAAUGGGAAUUGGCUUUUAUUUUGAAAGUUCCAUAUAUUUUACAGUGCUCCUUUAUUUAAUUUCCUGUCUGAUCCAAUCUGAAUUGCUGAGCUUGACAUGUUCUGGAAGUCUAGUGCGUAAAGAAGGAUCCAGGACGUAAGUUUAGCGUAGCGCCGCGUCCCUACGCUCCUGGGACACGUCUGAUACAGCCCUGGAGACCCAUUGAAUAUAAUGAGGGCUAUUAGCUGCUGCCGCCAGUCAACACCCCCCCCCCCCAUGCAGUAU